rnacentral:rRNA from 1 species
GACGAACGCUGGCGGCGUGCUUAACACAUGCAAGUCGAACGGAAAGGCCCUGCUUUUGUGGGGUGCUCGAGUGGCGAACGGGUGAGUAACACGUGAGUAACCUGCCCUUGACUUUGGGAUAACUUCAGGAAACUGGGGCUAAUACCGGAUAGGAGCUCCUGCUGCAUGGUGGGGGUUGGAAAGUUUCGGCGGUUGGGGAUGGACUCGCGGCUUAUCAGCUUGUUGGUGGGGUAGUGGCUUACCAAGGCUUUGACGGGUAGCCGGCCUGAGAGGGUGACCGGACACAUUGGGACUGAGAUACGGCCCAGACUCCUACGGGAGGCAGCAGUGGGGAAUAUUGCACAAUGGGCGGAAGCCUGAUGCAGCAACGCCGCGUGCGGGAUGACGGCCUUCGGGUUGUAAACCGAUUUCGCCUGUGACGAAGCGUGAGUGACGGUAAUGGGUAAAGAAGCACCGGCUAACUACGUG